UGCCAGCCGCCGCGGUAAUACGGGGGAUGCAAGCGUUAUCCGGAAUCAUUGGGCGUAAAGCGCCUGUAGGUUGUUUAAUAAGUCUGUUGUUAAAGACUAGGGCUCAACCCUAGAAAAGCAAUGGAAACUACUAGACUAGAGUAUGGCAGGGGUAGAGGGAAUUUCUAGUGUAGCGGUGAAAUUCGUAGAUAUUUGGAGGAACACCAGUGGCGAAGGCGGCUUUCUGGACAGUGACUGACGCUGAGGCGCGAAAGCGUGGGUAGCAAACAGGAUUAGAUA
rnacentral:rRNA from 1 species